rnacentral:rRNA from 1 species
AUUGAACGCUGGCGGCAUGCCUUACACAUGCAAGUCGAACGGCAGCACGGGUGCUUGCACCUGGUGGCGAGUGGCGAACGGGUGAGUAAUGCAUCGGAACGUACCUUAUCGUGGGGGAUAACGCAGCGAAAGCUGUGCUAAUACCGCAUACGCCCUGAGGGGGAAAGCGGGGGAUCGCAAGACCUCGCGCGAUUAGAGCGGCCGAUGCCUGAUUAGCUUGUUGGUGGGGUAAAAGCCCACCAAGGCGACGAUCAGUAGCUGGUCUGAGAGGACGAUCAGCCACACGGGGACUGGGACACGGCCCAGACUCCUACGGGAGGCAGCAGUGGGGAAGUUUGGACAAUGGGGGCAACCCUGAUCCAGCAAUGCCGCGUGAGUGAAGAAGGCCUUCGGGUUGUAAAGCUCUUUUGUCAGGGAAGAAACACCGGCUCUAACACAGUCUGGGAAUGACGGUACCUGAAGAAUAAGCACCGGCUAACUACGUGCCAGCCGCCGCCGUAA